rnacentral:misc_RNA from 1 species
GAUGAAGAACGCAGCGAAAUGCGAUAAGUAAUGUGAAUUGCAGAAUUCAGUGAAUCAUCGAAUCUUUGAACGCACCUUGCGCCCUUUGGCUAUUCUGAAGGGCAUGCCUGUUUGAGUAUCAUGAACACCUCAACUCUCAUGGUUCGCCAUGAUGAGCUUGGACUUUGGGGGUCUUGCUGGCCUACGGUCGGCUCCUCUCAAAUGAAUCAGCUUGCCAGUGUCUGGUAGAGUCGCAGGUGUGAUAACUAUCUACGCUUGUGGUUUUCUGCCAGAUAACCUUCAGUGAUGGAGGUUCGCUGGAGCUUAUAAAUGUCUCUCCCCAGUGAGGACAGCUUUUUGAACGUUUGAUCUCAAAUCAGGUAGGACUACCCGCUGAACUUAAGCAUAUCAAUAAGCGGAGGA